AGUGAACGCUGGCGGUAGGCCUAACACAUGCAAGUCGAACGGCAGCACAGUAAGAGCUUGCUCUUACGGGUGGCGAGUGGCGGACGGGUGAGGAAUACAUCGGAAUCUACUUUUUCGUGGGGGAUAACGUAGGGAAACUUACGCUAAUACCGCAUACGACCUACGGGUGAAAGCAGGGGAUCUUCGGACCUUGCGCGAUUGAAUGAGCCGAUGUCGGAUUAGCUAGUUGGCGGGGUAAAGGCCCACCAAGGCGACGAUCCGUAGCUGGUCUGAGAGGAUGAUCAGCCACACUGGAACUGAGACACGGUCAAGACUCCUAAGGGAGGCAGCAGUGGGGAAUAUUGGACAAUGGGCGCAAGCCUGAUCCAGCCAUACCGCGUGGGUGAAGAAGGCCUUCGGGUUGUAAAGCCCUUUUGUUGGGAAAGAAACGCAGCAGGUUAAUACCCCGCUGUUCUGACGGUACCCAAAGAAUAAGCACCGGCUAACUUCGUG
rnacentral:rRNA from 1 species